rnacentral:rRNA from 1 species
UGAACGCUGGCGGCGUGCCUAACACAUGCAAGUCGAGCGAUCUCUCGGAGAAGAGCGGCGGACGGGUGAGUAACGCGUGGGUAACCUGCCUCAUACACAUGGAUAACAUACCGAAAGGUAUGCUAAUACAGGAUAAUAUAAGAGAUUCACAUGGAUUUCUUAUCAAAGCUCCGGCGGUAUGAGAUGGACCCCGCGUCUGAUUAGCUAGUUGGUAAGGUGACGGCUUACCAAGGCGACGAUCAGUAGCCGACCUGAGAGGGUGAUCGGCCACAUUGGAACUGAGACACGGUCCAAACUCCUACGGGAGGCAGCAGUGGGGAAUAUUGCACAAUGGGCGAAAGCCUGAUGCAAGCAACGCCGCGUGAGUGAUGAAGGCCUUCGGGUCGUAAAACUCUGUCCUCAAGGAAGAUAAUGACGGUACUUGAGGAGGAAGCCCCGGCUAACUACGUGCCAGCAGCUGC